rnacentral:pre_miRNA from 1 species
UCCUAUGGAUGAGCAAAGACAGUGAUUCCUUGAGAUGGAAUCUACUCCUGGUGAGGAUGCUAUGAA